CUACCCGGGUAUCUAAUCCUGUUUGCUACCCACGCUUUCGAACCUCAGUGUCAGUAUGAUGCCAGAAGGCUGCCUUCGCCAUCGGUAUUCCUCCAGAUCUCUACGCAUUUCACCGCUACACCUGGAAUUCUACCUUCCUCUCACCUACUCUAGCCUAACAGUAUCAGAUGCCGUUCCCAGGUUAAGCCCGGGGCUUUCACAUCUGACUUAUCAAGCCACCUACGCUCGCUUUACGCCCAGUAAUUCCGAUUAACGCUUGCACCCUCUGUAUUACCGCGGCUGCUGGCAC
rnacentral:rRNA from 1 species